rnacentral:rRNA from 1 species
UUACGGUCAAAUCACGCUGAAACACCGGUUCUCGUACGAUCACCGAAGUUAAGCAUUGUAGAGCCAGGUCAGUACUUAGAUGGGGGACCGCUUGGGAACACCUGGUACUGUAAG